GACGAACGCUGGCGGCGUGCCUAAUACAUGCAAGUUGAGCGCUGAAGGUUGGUACUUGUACCAACUGGAUGAGCAGCGAACGGGUGAGUAACGCGUGGGGAAUCUGCCUUUGAGCGGGGGACAACAUUUGGAAACGAAUGCUAAUACCGCAUAAAAACUUUAAACACAAGUUUUAAGUUUGAAAGAUGCAAUUGCAUCACUCAAAGAUGAUCCCGCGUUGUAUUAGCUAGUUGGUGAGGUAAAGGCUCACCAAGGCGAUGAUACAUAGCCGACCUGAGAGGGUGAUCGGCAAAAUUGGAACUGAGAAACGGCCAAAACUCCUACGGGAGGCAGCAGUAGGGAAUCUUCGGCAAUGGACGAAAGUCUGACCGAGAAACGCCGCGUGAGUGAAGAAGGUUUCGGAUCGUAAAACUCUGUUGGUAGAGAAGAACGUUGGUGAGAGUGGAAAGCUCAUCAAGUGACGGUAACUACCCAGAAAGGGACGGCUAACUACGUG
rnacentral:rRNA from 1 species